rnacentral:tRNA from 3 species
UGGCCUAUAGUAUAAUGGUAGUACAACAGAUUUUGGUUCUGUCUGUCUUGGUUCGAAUCCAGGUAGGCCAA